rnacentral:lncRNA from 13 species
GGGUGUGGUAUCAGGUGCCUGUAGUCCUGGCUACUUGGGAGCCUGAGGUGGGAGAAUCACUUGAACCCAGGGAGGCAGAGGUUGCAGUAAGCUGAGCUCCUGCCACUGAACUCCAGCUUGGGCCACAGAGCAAGACUCUACCUCAAACAACAACAACAAAAACAACAACAGCAGCAACAACCAAAGCAGAUAAAAUCAUUGUGUGGGCAGCCACAGGACGUUCAGUCUUACGUAUUUUCCAGAAAUAGGAACAGGACUGUAAGUUUUCAAGUAGGGGUUUCUAAAGUUUCUUAACAAGAUGAAAGCAUGCUGUGUGCUAUUUGGGUUUUAAGUGUUCUGUUCGUGAAGUGUCCAAGUGACUGAUGGCAGCAAGUUCUUUUGAUUCCACUGGGGACGGCUGCUGACACAGGAAUCGGUUCUCUCCAGACCUUGCAUGAAUGAGGGUAAAGGAAUGGAAGCUCUUCCUGAAGCCGCUCCCAGCAAGCACUGCUUUGCCAUUCAGUAAGGAUCAGACUGUCCACUUUUUCAGAACUGCACCCUGACAUUCUUAAAAGCCAGGGAGCCUCUUCUGGCACCCACACCCGGGUGCUGCCAUCUGUCUAGAAGGCAGCAUUUGUUUUCAACGGAGAAUGCUGACCACACUUCACGGGCACAACUGAGAAGCAUGAGCCUCCUGUUUCAUUUGCAAGGUGCUAAUUUGAAAGAUUAGCAUCCCUUAAACAGUCCUGGAGCUGGGCACCAGGAUGCGGUGACUCGGGAGAACAGGAUGUAAAUCACGAACCCUGGUACCGUUAACGAAACGACAGAUCAGUGUGUACACAGCAUCGGAGCCCUCAGGAAUAUUUACGUCUAUUCUUUCUACAUCAAGUUGCUCACAAAGGAAUCCCCAAGAGCAAGUGAUGAGCAACAUGGACACAGCUGGAGGCCAUUCUCCGGAGCAAAUGAAUGCAGGAACAGAAAACCAAAUAUGGCAUGUUCUCACUUCUAAGUUGGAGCUAAACACUGGAGACACAUGAGCAUAAAGUUGGGAAUGGCAGACAUUGUGAACUCAAAAAGAGGGAGGAAGACAGAGUUGAAGACGAUGUGGUACUAUGUGCACUAUUUGGAAGAGGCUUUCACCUGAUCCCAAACCUCAGUGUCAUGCAAAUACUCACGUGAAAAAGCUGCACGUGGACCAGCUGAAUCUAAAACAAAAAGAAAUAAGUAAGUAACAUGCAUUUCUUAUCUGUAAAGGGAGGGAGGGAGAGUGAUAGGGUCUGGAUC